GGUGUAGCUUGUGUGAUAGUGACUGUUGGUUCUGGAAGGGAGUCUGGGUUGACAGGUACUUGAACACCUCUCUCCCAUUCUUGUUUCCAUUGAUCAGUAAUAACCCAAUAUUCAUUGGGACUUAGUGGCUCACUGUCAGAGCGGUCUGGGGGUCCAGGAUGCCCCUCCUUGACUGGACGACGCCAUCGUCUCCUCCUCUUCUGAGGGCCCCAUGGUAGCUGCCAACGACGACGAACCCGACGCUGGAACCAGCCUACAUUUGCGCCUUUUGAUUGCGCCUGGGCAAGACGCCAAAUCAUUGUCGUUUCUAUUUAUUCGUUUGCCUCGCUGUGCCAUUCUACUAUACCAAGUGAGCUAGCGGUACGUGGCACGUGCAGGUGAGCCGCGCACACCCUAAAACGUUUUAUGAUUGUUAAUUAAAUAAAUGAUAAAAAAAAUUUGAAGCAAA